UACGGAGGGGGCUAGCGUUGUUCGGAAUUACUGGGCGUAAAGCGCACGUAGGCGGACUGGAAAGUCAGAGGUGAAAUCCCAGGGCUCAACCUUGGAACUGCCUUUGAAACUAUCAGUCUGGAGUUCGAGAGAGGUGAGUGGAAUUCCGAGUGUAGAGGUGAAAUUCGUAGAUAUUCGGAGGAACACCAGUGGCGAAGGCGGCUCACUGGCUCGAUACUGACGCUGAGGGGCGAAAGCGUGGGGAGCAAACAGG
rnacentral:rRNA from 1 species